GUAUGAGUCCAUUCGGAAAUCCACCGGCUCACGUAAGCACUGUUCGUAAAAGUGACUGGUCCUUUGGAGUGAAGACAAGCCGAAUCGUUAUUCCUUGCUACAAGAAGCUACCGAGGUGCUUUGAAACUAACGGAAAUGUUGCAGGAACCACAUUAAUCAGCCCAGUGAAUCAUACCGAGGCAGAGACGAAAAACAAUUCCGGUAAAAUAUCUGGUAGAUCUUCAAAGUGGGCUCGCAGAAAGAGGUGCUGGAUCGAUGAGUUUUCUGGGUUUGAGUGAUUGCAAAGCAUUCCUGCCUCAGAAAUGCUGUCACACCAUCGUUUACCGUCCUCGUAAACAUUGCUGGAACUGGUAAAGAACGUUGAAAGAGAAACAAGCACAGCUCUUGGUUAUUCAGAAGGACCGAUUAGUGUCGUGGCCGUCAUAACUCCCUCUUUUUGGCAAUAAGAACUACAAGCGGGGUUCCGCCGAGAUCCUAAUCAUCUGUCAUGAUUACAAAUGGAAACCAACAGCCUCAUUAUCAAUACCAGCACCCGGAACAGUUUUAACUGAUGCUGGAGCUGAAAUCUAUCUCAAUAUUACAUUUUUCCUGGAGAUAAAAGAAUGCAGCGGUUAGGCUUCCAAAAUUUUCGGAACGGAUUUGGAUUUAUGAUCAGCAUUUUUCAGAGGAAAAAUGUUCCAGUUUUGAUCACCGAGGAUCAUAAGAUAUAUCUACUGGCGAGUUACUGAAACUGUUGCCUUUACCAGAGUGAGAUUGUACUCAUAAGAUCUAGGUGUAAAUUGAACCUCUUGCAAUGUAUCCGAAUAUGGAGGGAACUAUG